GAGUACACACAACUGUGAUAGACCACCAAGUACAGGGGUGAUGGAAUGUCGAAAAACCUUUGGAGAACCUUAUCUUUAAGAUGUAUUUAACUUGAAAGCUGCUAUUUGGCACUUUAUCUCAGAGCAAGAAGAGAAAGAGCAGGCUGUCUCUUUGAGAAGACCCUUGUCCUUCGUGCUAAAGUUAGCAUGUGCUGCCUCUUCCUGUCUGGAUAUAAGACUAAGCUUUAUUUCAAAACUGAACCCUCUAGCAGCUGCAUACCAGUUUACCUUAAUAUCCUUAGUACUUGGUGUCUUAACAUCCUCAUACUACCUUGCUCCUUUGGCCUCAAAGUAAGCAUAUUGGCUGGCUUAUAUUUCUUAACAAAAUUAGCAGUACACAAAUUGAAGAAUUUUCAUCUUUGAUUACAAAAGUCUGCGCAUGUGCUUGUACUCUGAGAUGGUAAUAGAUUCUUCUGAUAAAGUUAUUGCUGCCUUUCCACA
rnacentral:lncRNA from 1 species